rnacentral:miRNA from 1 species
CCUAGGCUAUUUUGCGAGACGAAU